rnacentral:lncRNA from 1 species
UGGAAAAGCAGUGAUUUUGAAUAAGAAACUCAGCCCUUAAAGUCAACCUUUUUAGAUUUUGAGCUCAGCCUUAAGUAUAACUUAGAGAGGGAAAGCAGAGAUUCCUUUUUUGCUGCAGUAAACAGUGCCCUUUAGUGGGCAAAUUGAUGGUUAGAAACUUCCCUAAUGAAAAAACACCUCUAGUUCCUCUGUAUGAGGAGUGUCUAGUUUUGACUGUAGAAAAGAUUAAAUGGAGAAAUAAUAGGGAAAGAAAUAAUAGAAAAAAAAUAGAAGAAAUAAUAGGGAAAGAAAUAAUAGAAAAAAAAUAGAAAAACUGUUACUGUUUGGGACAGCCACAAAAAAAUAUUUAUAAUGAAAAACUUAUGUCAAUAGUGCAGCCAAAGGUAGAGAAACAGAACUCCCUCUUUUGGUCAUCAUCUUCCAACUCCACAGUAUGUUUAAAUUGACAAUUCUUAUUUCCAUUCUUAAAAUUUUCUUUAGAAAUAGUAAAUGGGGCUCCAGGUUUUGCAGCUCAGUUUAUUGUUUUCUUUAUGCAAACCAAAAUGUCACUGGUUCAUAAACACCUGUAACUUCCAGUACUUUGUUCCUUAUUCAACACAAGGUAUUAUUAUGAUUGUUUUAUUCCUUCACUUUUUUUUUUUCCUUUUUAAACUAGAGAAGAAAGAGACAGUCACACGUACCAACAGAGUGAUGUGGAUCCUCCAGGAAGGCUAAUUAAAGCAGUGUGGAAAAUGAAAACUACACCAAGCUGGCAUGACCUGUACACUGGCAUCCCUCAUAUGAAGAGGGAACAUUUGGCUCUGUAUGAAGAUGCUGACUGCAGUUCAUCAUGGCUGUAGGAAGAAAUUUGGCAGAGAGGCACCUCCUGAUCACAGCAGACACAGGAGUCACACAACAGCCACUUGGACUGCAGAACUCAGGAGACUCCCGUGGCAGCUGGAAGGCAACUGGAGGCAUUUGAGAGGAGCACUUCAUAUUUUCAUCUUGGACUCUGUAUUUUACUCAGCACUUACUCUGCCUAUGACAUCCCCUGUGCCAAACUUCCAAAGGCUGUUUGGGACAUACAGUUGCUAG